AUUGAACGCUGGCGGCAGGCCUAACACAUGCAAGUCGAGCGGAUGAAGGGAGCUUGCUCCUGGAUUCAGCGGCGGACGGGUGAGUAAUGCCUAGGAAUCUGCCUGGUAGUGGGGGAUAACGUCCGGAAACGGGCGCUAAUACCGCAUACGUCCUGAGGGAGAAAGUGGGGGAUCUUCGGACCUCACGCUAUCAGAUGAGCCUAGGUCGGAUUAGCUAGUUGGUGGGGUAAAGGCCUACCAAGGCGACGAUCCGUAACUGGUCUGAGAGGAUGAUCAGUCACACUGGAACUGAGACACGGUCCAGACUCCUACGGGAGGCAGCAGUGGGGAAUAUUGGACAAUGGGCGAAAGCCUGAUCCAGCCAUGCCGCGUGUGUGAAGAAGGUCUUCGGAUUGUAAAGCACUUUAAGUAGGGAAGAAGGGAAGUAAGUGAAUACCUUGAUGUUUUGACGUUACCAACAGAAUAAGCACCGGCUAACUUCGUG
rnacentral:rRNA from 1 species